UGACACGCAAGCGCUCGGAGGAGCUCGCCAGUGCCCCCCCUCCUCCGCCCCCAGCGUUCGGAGACCGCCAACCGCCGCGCCGCGCCGCGCCGCCCCGCCCCCUCGGUGCGAAGACCAGUAAACUCCCCCGCCCGGAGACCGGAAUCCCGAGAGCUGGGAGACCGGCAACCGUCCCUCCCCGCACCCCGGGUGCUCGAGAUUACCCCCCUCUUGGCCCACGCACAACCUGAGCUCUGGGAGAUCACCAACUCCCCAUCCCCCGAAGUCCAGUGCUUGGAGAUCGCCAAGAUAAUGAUUGCCAAGGGGUUACCCCAGGGAGUUCCUUGAGAUGAACUGACAGGAUCCUGGGUCUUUCUGCUCCCUCAACCAGCAGCACAAACUACCCUUGCUCCCUCAUAAAGACCCUCUGUGUUGCCCCAAAUACUCUGCCACCCCCGCCACCACCCACUCACUCCCACGGUUACUAGCAGGGCCUGUUGGUAUUGCAGGGUGCUCCAGGCCCCAGCAAAGACAUGCACUGUUUUAAAUAUAUCACUUCAACUCUCCAUAACUGCCCAAACCAACACCCAUUAGGAUGAUCUCCUAUGCUGCCUCCAAAGAAGAGAGGCAGGUGGCCUUCCAGAUCAGUAUAGGAGGGUGUUCCAGCAAGGGGAAGUGGCCAAAUGGCUGUGUGAGGCCAACAUCCUUAGCAGAGCAGAGGUAGUGAUAUGUUGGGAGGUGAAAGCAGCAUUAGAAAGAAUUAUCAGUGGUUUUGAAGGAGGAGAAUAAGUUUGGACUUGAUGCAGCGGAAAACGGAGUCAAUCCAAGGUUUCAAAGAGCUCUGAAGGUUAUGUUAGCAGCUGUGCUUUGGAUGGAUUCAAAGGGAGCAACGUGCAUGUCAGAGUGGCCAAGAGGAGGUGGUUAUAGUAGCAAGAUGGAAGCCUGGACAAGGGUUUUAGCUGUGGGAGAAGGAAAGUUUGAAUUUUGGAAAGGUUACAAGAGAAGUGGCAGGAUAUGGUUGUAACCUUUAUGUACAGGAUGAAGGAGAACAACUUUUAUGUUUGUCCAGAUAAUUCUCCAACUAAGACACCUUACCCCUUUCACCUCCCAAGUGAGAUGCUUUGCUUACUGGUGAAUUUGCCAAAGGCCAUUCUUUGCAUUGAGUUUCUCAGCUCCUCAUUAUUAGCAAGAUGCUGUCUGUCUUCAAUCAGUGCUUCCCAACCACUGGUACAGCCACUCAGAAGGAGCCUUGGUGGUGUUGCACUGUGUGACAUGUAGAGGGGCACACUGCCCACUUGGACUCCAAGCAUUCUAUGCCACACACCCCAGAACUACACCAGUUCCACUGUGGGCAGGGCCUUGUGCACUUGCAGAGUAGAGAUAGGAUUUACACCUUAACGUUGCAGAAGAAAGGUGAUUAGAAGUAUUCAGUUUCUAUUUAUGUCAAGAGCUUUAUAUGCGUAGCCUACUGCAAAGGAAAACUAAAAUUGCACAGACCUACUCAGUUUCCCUUUACAACUGAACCGAGCACUGCUUAGGACACAGCAUUUGCUGCUGGCAGGAUGGAUGCCUACCCAGACAAACUCUUUCCAGCAAGCAGCUGAUUGGAAAGUGUGGUGAAGACACUUAUGGGUGGCAGACGGUCUUACACAAACACUGUGUGGGAAACACUAGCAUGCAUGGUGUGGUGUCCACUUCACAGUGUAGCUCUAUUCCAUUUGUUGGUAUUAGAAUUAUAUACAUUCUGCACUCCAGCUUAUAACUACUACCUGUGGAUCUGAGAUAAUAGUUCAGGCUUUACAGCACAAUUCAUGUAUAUUUUAGACCCUGAUUGAGUCAGAACUGUGAGAUUUUCAGAAACAUCCUGCCUUUUGUCCAUGUGCCAGAAAAAUUUGUCAGCACCCAAAAUGAGAACAGCCUACAGCACAGACAAAAUCACAGCUUCUACACUGGGCAGUAUAGAACCCAGAAACCCAGUGUCCGCAAAGAGGAGUUCGGUUGCUGGCUGGGAAACGCUCAGCCCUUUGAAUUGUUCCCCUGGCUACAGCAGGAGUCUGAGAAGAGGCUGAUAUUGAAGGAGACGAGUAGGCUGAAGUUGAGGCAGGAGAUGGUGCCGGAGCACCCCGUGGUAGGAAGUUUUACACCUGGAUGAGUGAAGAAAAUAGCCACACUUACAGAACACAGAGGCUGAAAGAGAACGACAAAAACAAUGCUGGGGAAACAAAUACAGAUUGUUUAAUUUUCAAAAAGUGAAACUGAAUGCAGGUUAAAUUGAACAAGUGGAACUUUAUUAAACCUUGUGCACUGCUCUGUCCAUGUGGCUUGAGUUGCUUCCAGCCUAACUACAACUGUUCCCUGUUCACCUAGUGUCAACCUCAGUAAAAGCCCCUCCAGGGAACACAGGCACUCUGACUCCACUUCCAUUUAUCAUGAUACUCAGAUCACAUGGCCAGCAAGGCAAAAUCAACAGCAACUAGAGGAAGAAUGUCCCUAUGAUCAAGGUACUGGACCAGGACUCAGGAUCUCAAUUCAGUUCCUGACUCUGCCGUGGAUUUCCUGUGACUCUGCCAUGGAUUUCCUGUAAAUCAUAAUCUGUGUCUCAGGUCUGGUCUGUAAAAUGGGGAAAAUGAUACUUUCUUUCUCCCAUCCUUUGUUUUGUCUAUUUAGAUUGUAAAUUCUUCAAGGUAUUGACUGACUGUUAUAUCUGUUUGUAUAGUGUCUAGCACAAUGGACUAAUCUUGGGUGGAGACUUAAUACAAAUAAUCAUCAGGAUCUAGAGUCUGUACUCACUGGAAAGCCCUCCCAUUAUCUUGUUCUCUUUUUAAAACUAUAGACUUAAGUCUCAGAAAUCUAGGUAAAACUGAAGAUUUCACCUGAGAAACUGCCACAUCUCCCAGUCACAGUGUAGAAAGGUCAAAUAUAUUCUUUACUUUGGAAAGGAAAAAAGGAAACAAAAAAUUUAUUGAUGUAUUCUGGAACAGCCUAAAGGGAAAAAACCCAAGAGAGUAGGAAAACAAGGAAAGCCAGCGAUCAAGAAGAAGAAUACAGUGCAGACCUCCAGAGCCUUGAUAAAAAAUACCCUCUUUUCAAGCCUUUUUAAAAUAUUUAUGUUAAGUGAAUUAAAUUAGUAACAUUUUAAUUUAUUGUUAUCAUUGAAGAAAUUACAGACUGCAUUGUGGUUACUUUGAGAUGUUUACAUAGAUGUGCAUUUGUGUUGAUACUUGUGGAACUACAUGUACAAAAUUGUGUAAAAGAUGUUUUGAAUGAGCUGUAGAAGAUAAUUAUUAUCUUAUGGCUUGAUGCUAACUACUGAGGGAAAAUUAUUAACUGUAAGUAGAAUGACCCAUAUUAGCACCCUGAUAACAUACUCUGAUAACUUUUUCCAAAUAGUCCUAUUUUGGGCUCAACAUUCUUAUGCUUGAUGUCUGCCUAAAGGUGAAUUUUUCUUUUGGGUUGAUGUGAGCAAAAUUCCUCAUCUGUUUGAGAUCAGGAACUGUGAAACAGAUCACUUCCUGUUUUUUAAGGAUUCCAGGCAUACUAUUUGGCUGCUGCAGAAAAUAUUGGAUGAAGUUUGAAACACUGCAUAGCAUCCUCUUUGAGGAAUAGUGCCUUUGCUUGCUUUUAUUUUUUUAAAAGGUGUUGCUUUACCAUAAUUUUAACUGUAUGAACAUGUUCAUGUUAAAAAAAAAAGUCUACAGGUGCACACACAGGGUCCAGUCCCUCCUCCCAAUAAAGUAAAUAAAAAAGUUCAUGAUGGCUUCAGUAGGACCAGGAUUUGGCCCUGAAAGGGAGACAUAGUGUGUAUCUGUGAAUUAGUUAGGUACACUGUGACGAGGUGUACCAGUCGUGCACUGGGCCAACAGGGAAGGACCAAUCACUGUGGGUCCAGGAAGCAACGUCCCCUUUCCCCUGCUGCACACGCUGC